rnacentral:rRNA from 1 species
UACGGAGGGGGCUAGCGUUAUUCGGAAUUACUGGGCGUAAAGCGCACGUAGGCGGCUUUGUAAGUCAGAGGUGAAAGCCUGGAGCUCAACUCCAGAACUGCCUUUGAUACUGAAGAUCUUGAGUUCGGGAGAGGUGAGUGGAACUGCGAGUGUAGAGGUGAAAUUCGUAGAUAUUCGCAAGAACACCAGUGGCGAAGGCGGCUCACUGGCCCGAUACUGACGCUGAGGCACGAAAGCGUGGGGAGCAAACAGG